rnacentral:ncRNA from 2 species
UACGGAAGGUCCAGGCGUUAUCCGGAUUUAUUGGGUUUAAAGGGAGCGUAGGCGGGAUAAUAAGUCAGUUGUGAAAGUUUGGGGCUCAACCUUAAAAUUGCAAUUGAUACUGUUAUUCUUGAGUGCACGCAGGGGUGCCGGAAUUCAUAGUGUAGCGGUGAAAUGCUUAGAUAUUAUGAAGAACUCCGAUCGCGAAGGCAAGUGCCCGGAGUGCUACUGACGCUGAGGCUCGAAAGUGCGGGUAUCAAACAGG